rnacentral:rRNA from 1 species
GAUGAACGCUAGCGAUAGGCCUAACACAUGCAAGUCGAGGGGCAUCACAUGAAGUAGCAAUACGGAUGGUGGCGACCGGCGCACGGGUGAGUAACACGUAUGCAACCUGCCUUCAACAAGGGGAUAACCCGUUGAAAGACGGACUAAUACCCUAUAACACAGGGGUCCCGCAUGGGGGAUAUUUGUUAAAGGACAACCGGUUGAAGAUGGGCAUGCGUUCCAUUAGCUAGUUGGCGGGUAAGGCCCACCAAGGCAACGAUGGAUAGGGGAACUGAGAGGUUUAUCCCCCACACUGGUACUGAGACACGGACCAGACUCCUACGGGAGGCAGCAGUGAGGAAUAUUGGUCAAUGGACGCAAGUCUGAACCAGCCACGUCGCGUGAAGGAAGACGGCCCUACGGGUUGUAAACUUCUUUUGCAAGGGAAUAAAGUGGGCCACGUGUGGCCUUUUGCAAGUACCUUGCGAAUAAGGAUCGGCUAACUCCGUGCCAGCAGCCGCGGUAA